rnacentral:lncRNA from 1 species
AGUGGACAGUUAAACUAAGACCCAACUCAGGGCCCCUAACUCCCUAAUUCAAUCCCCCCUUUUCCUUUAAACUUAGCGAAUUCUUUCGCUAAAUUGCCCCAUUCUGGGAGAGAAAGGAUUUGAAGUAUCUUCCAGUUUCCGCCUUCUGCCUUAGUUUAUGUUUCUUCCAUUCCUCAUCAGCAGGAUGAUUACAAUAGUUCAAGCCAUAAAGAUUUGCUUUAGCCAUGCAAAAUUUGGUAAUUAUAGAAUACAAGUAAUAGAUUUUGCUUCUUAAGUUUCAGCUUAAGAGGCCCUUUUUCUCUUUGACGAACCACUGAGGCUGACCCGUCCUCCUACAGGAUCUCAAAUGGGCUCAGCCCUUCUUUUACCCGAGGUUUCGUUCUAAUCCUCAAGAGGGCUAAUGGUGAAGUUUGGAGCCAGGGCUCAAGAGGGCUAAUGGUGAAGUUUGGAGCCAGGUAAUUCCAGCUCCCUGCCCCAAUUUAACAAUCUGUCAUUUGAUCAAAUAAUUCAUUUUCUCCAUUUGGCCACUUGACUGAGGCCUGUAAGGAGUAUGUAAUUACCAAUCAAUUCCCAAUAACCUGCUUAUUUGUUGUCGAGCCAGGCUAAAGCAAAUCGUACACACAUACUAUUUACACUACCUUAGCAACAAAGUUCUUGUAACAAACCUCUUGUCACCUCCCUGGCCUUAUUAACUCUGCAGGGGAAUGCCUCUGGCCAUCCUGAAAAGCUACCUGCAAGGACCAAUAGGUACCUAUACCCCCUUUUCUUGUGAGUUCCAUGAAGUCUACCUGCCAUUGUUGCCCAAUAAAAUCUCCCUUUUCUAAUAGGCCCCUCUUGUACCCUGUUCCUGGUACUCAGAUCAUGCAAAUACUUUGUAUUUUAGAUUCCUAUCCUUUCUAAAAUACUUUACACGCUCUGACUCGGGUUCAGAAAUUUGAAGUUUACCAUCUGGAACUAAAGCCAGUUCAACAAUUUCUUUUCCUUCAGCUGCCUGUUCUGCCACCCUGUUCCUAUGUUCUGUCAUCUUAUUUCCAGUUCCCUGUACAGUGUUACCUUUCUGAUGUCCUUUACAGUGCAUAAUAGCCACACCUUUUGUAGACUUACACCAUGCUGAAUUUGUUUUCCUUGUGUGUGAGCAAUCCUUCCAGGUGGCACUAUAAGCAUGUACCACCCCAAAUCCAUAUU